rnacentral:piRNA from 1 species
UGUGAUGUCUAUUAGACUGAC